rnacentral:rRNA from 1 species
GAUGAACGCUGGCGGCGUGCCUAACACAUGCAAGUCGAACGAUGAAACCAAGCUUGUUCGGUGGUUUCGUGGCGGACGGGUGCGUAAUACGUAAGUAACCUACCUUUCACUCUGGGAUAGGCCAGGGAAAGUAAGCGUAAUACAGGACAGCACAAAUCUCCACCAGCAGUGUUGGUGACAUUAGGUCUGUUGUGGUUAUAGAUGGGCCCACGGCCUAUCCGCUUUAUGGUGUGGUAACGGUUAACGAAGGCGACGACGGGUAGCCGUCCUGGGAGGGUGACCGGCGACAAUAGGACUACGACACGGACCAGACGCGAACGGGAGGCAGCAGUGGGGAAUAUUGCGCAGUGAGGGCGAGCGUGUGGCGAAGACGCUGGGUGAGGAAUGACGGCCUUCGGGUGGUAAACCUCUGUUAGCAGAGAAGUAGAGAGAUUGACGGUACCUGCAGAGAAAGCGCCGGCUAACUACGUG